GAUGUUGUAAUUCUUUGCAACGUUCCUAAGGUAAGCUGGUGAGUUUUUCUUUUGAUCAAGGCCCAGAUGUUUGGGUAGACACUUCAAGUAUACUGCUACAUUUUGCUAACACUUGAUGACGUCUACUCAUAGUAGCAUGUCUUCACCAUACUCCAUGUAAAAAAUUGUCUAUUUGAGGAGAAAAGUCCUUUUUUCUGAUUUUAUUUCUUGUUUUCAACAGAUCAGGUCAUUAAGAAAACAGAUUUGAAUGAAACUGGAUGGAGUCACAGGUUUUAAACUACCAUCAAAUGUUCUUAAGGUAAGCUGAUGAUUUUUAGUUUUUUAUCAGGCUUAUAGGUUUGGGAAGACACCUCAUGCGUACUGCUACAUUUUACUCACACUUGAUCAUUUCUACUGAUCGCUGCAUGUUCUCACUGUACCACAUGUAAAAAAUUGUCUAUUUUAGGAUAUUUCUCUUGUUGUCAUCUCAUCAGGUCAUUAAGAAAACAGAUUUGAAUGAAACUGGAUGGAGUCACAGACUUCAAACUAAAGUCAAACGUUCGUAAGGUAACCUGAUGAUUUUUAAUAUUGAUCAAGGUCUAUAAGUGCCGUAGACAUCUCAAGUGUGUUGCUACAUUUCACUCACACUUGAUAACCUCUACUCAUCGUAGAAUGUCUUCACCAUACCGCAUGCAAAAAAAUUUUUUAUGUAAAGCUUAAGGUUGGUGUUAUUCUGUAUUUGUUGUGUUGUCAAUUAAUCCACUUAUUAAGAAAACACAUUUUCUUGAUGCUGGAAUGUGUCUCAGAUGUCAUAAUUCUUUGCAACGUUCCUAAGGUAAGCUGGUGAGUUUUUCUUUUGAUCAAGGCCCAGAUGUUUGGGUAGACACUUCAAGUGUACUGCUACAUUUUGCUAACACUUGAUGACGUCUACUCAUAGUAGCAUGUCUUCACCAUACUGCAUGUAAAAAGUUGUCCAUUUAAAGAUUAAGGUUGAUGUUAUUCUGUAUUUUUUGUGUUGUCAAAUAAUCAAUUUAUUAAGUAAACAGAUCUUAUUGAUACUGGAGGGUGUCACAGAUGUCCAAAUAGCCUACUUUCUAACGUUCCUAAGGUAAGCUGGUGAAUUUUUCUUUUGAUCAAGGCCCAGAGGUUUGGGUAGACACUUCAAGUGUACUGCAACACUUGACAACGUCUACUCAUAGUACCAUGUCUUCACCAUGCCCCAUGUAAAAAAAUGUCGAUUUUAGGAAAACGGUUGUUUUUUCCCUGUGUUUCUCUUGUUGUCAUCUAAUCGUGUCAUUAAGAAAACAUAUUUAAAUAUUGAUCAAGACCUAGAAGUUUGGUAGACAUCUCAAGUAUGUUGCUACAUUUCACUCACACUUGAUGACGUCUACUCAUGGUAGCAUGUCUUCACCAUACCGCAUGCAAAAUAAAUGUCUAUUUGAGGAGAAAAGUCGUUUUUUUUUCAGAUUUUUUUUCGUGUUUUCAGCAGAUCAGGUCAUUAAGAAAACAGAUUUCAAUGAAAUUGGACGGAGUCACGGGUUUUAAACUAGCAUCAAAGGUUCCUAAGAUAACCUGAUGAUUUUUAAUAUUGAUCAAGGUCUAGAAAUAUGGGUAGACACUUCAAGUGUACUGCUACAUUUUACUAACACUUGAUGACGUCUACUCAUAGUAGCAUGUCUUCACCAUACUCCAUGUAAACAAUUGUCAAUUUGAGGAGAAAAGUCCGUUUUUUCUGAUGUUUUUUCUUGUUUUCAACAGAUCAGGUCAUUAAGAAAACAGAUUUGAAUAAAAUUGGGUGGAGUCACAGACUUCAAACUACAGUCAAACGAUCCUAAGGUAACCUGAUGAUUUUUAAUAUUGAUCAAGGUCUAUAAGUUUCGUAGACAUCUCAAGUGUGUUGCUACAUUUCACUCACACUUGAUAACCUCUACUCUUUGUAGAAUGUCUUCACCAUACUGCAUAUAAAAAUUUUUCAAUCUAAAGCUUAAGAUUGGUGUUAUUCUGUAUUUGUUGUGUUGUCAACCAAUCAAUUUAUUAAGAAAACACAUUUUCUUGAUGCUAGAAUGAGUCUCAGAUGUCAUAAUUCUUUCCAACGUUCCUAAGGUAAGCUGAUGAGUUUUUCUUUUGAUCAAGGCCCAGAUGUUUGGGUAGACACUUCAAGUGUACUGCUACAUUUUGCUAACACUUGAUGACGUCUACUCAUGGUAGCAUGUCUUCACCAUACUCCAUGUAAAAAAUUGUCUAUUUGAGGAGAAAAGUCCUUUUUUUCUGAUUUAUUUUCUUAUUUUAAACAGAUCAGGUCAUUAAGAAUACAGAUUUGAAUGAAACUGGAUGGAGUCACAGGUUUUAAACUACCAUCAAAUGUUCCUAAGGUAAGCUGGUGAGUUUUUCUUUUGAUCAAGGUCUAUAACUUUCGCUCUCAGGAAAGUGUGUUGCUACAUUUCACUCACACUUGAUAACCUCUACUCAUCGUAGCAUGUCUUCACCAUACCGCAUGCAAAAAAUUUUUUUAUGUAAAGCUUAAGGUUGGUGUUAUUCUGUAUUUGUUGUGUUGUCAAUUAAUCCACUUAUUAAGAAAACACAUUUUCUUGAUGCUGGAAUGUGUCUCAGAUGUUGUAAUUCUUUGCAACGUUCCUAAGGUAAGCUGGUGAGUUUUUCUUUUGAUCAAGGCCCAGAUGUUUGGGUAGGCACUUCAAGUGUACUGCUACAUUUUGCUAACACUUGAUGACGUCUACUCAUAGUAGCAUGUCUUCACCAUACUCCAUGUAAAAAAUUGUCUAUUUGAGGAGAAAAGUCCUUUUUUCUGAUUUUAUUUCUUGUUUUCAACAGAUCAGGUCAUUAAGAAAACAGAUUUGAAUGAAACUGGAUGGAGUCACAGGUUUUAAACUACCAUCAAAUGUUCUUAAGGUCAUUAAGAAAACAGAUUUGAAUGAAACUGGAUGGAGUCACAGACUUCAAACUACCAUCAAACGUUCCUAAGAUCAGGUCAUUAAGAAAACAGAUUUGAAUGAAAUUGGACGGAGUCACGGGUUUUAAACUAGCAUCAAAGGUUCCUAAGAUAACCUGAUGAUUUUUAAUAUUGAUCAAGGUCUAGAAAUAUGGGUAGACACUUCAAGUGUACUGCUACAUUUUACUAACACUUGAUGACGUCUACUCAUAGUAGCAUGUCUUCACCAUACUCCAUGUAAACAAUUAUCAAUUUGAGGAGAAAAGUCCGUUUUUUCUGAUGUUUUUUCUUGUUUUCAACAGAUCAGGUCAUUAAGAAAACAGAUUUGAAUAAAAUUGGGUGGAGUCACAGACUUCAAACUACAGUCAAACGAUCCUAAGGUAACCUGAUGAUUUUUAAUAUUGAUCAAGGUAUAUAAGUUUCGUAGACAUCUCAAGUGUGUUGCUACAUUUCACUCACACUUGAUAACCUCUACUCAUCGUAGAAUGUCUUCACCAUACUGCAUGUAAAAAUAAUUAAAUGUAAAGCUUAAGAUUGUUGUUAUUUCUGUAUUUGUUGUGUUGUCAACCAAUCAAUUUAUUAAGAAAACACAUUUUCUUGAUGCUGGAAUGAGUCUCAGAUGUCAUAAUUCUUUGCAACGUUCCUAAGGUAAGCUGAUGAGUUUUUCUUUUGAUCAAGGCCCAGAUGUUUGGGUAGGCACUUCAAGUGUACUGCUACAUUUUGCUAACACUUGAUGACGUCUACUCAUAGUAGCAUGUCUUCACCAUACCGCAUGCAAAAACUUUUUUUAUGUAAAGCUUAAGGUUGGUGUUAUUCUGUAUUUGUUGUGUUGUCAAUUAAUCCACUUAUUAAGAAAACACAUUUUCUUGAUGCUGGAAUGAGUCUCAGAUGUCAUAAUUCUUUGCAAUGUUCCUAAGGUAAGCUGGUGAGUUUUUCUUUUGAUCAAGGCCCAGAUGUUUGGGUAGACACUUCAAGUGUACUGCUACAUUUUGCUAACACUUGAUGACGUCUACUCAUAGUAGCAUGUCUUCACCAUACUCCAUGUAAAAAAUAUUCUAUAUUUUGAGAAAAAAUACCUUUUUUCUGAUUUUAUUUCUUGUUUUCAACAGAUCAGGUCAUUAAGAAAACAGAUUUGAAUCAAACUGGAUGGAGUCACAGGUUUUAAACUACCAUCAAAUGUUCUUAAGGUCAUUAAGAAAACAGAUUUGAAUGAAACUGGAUGGAGUCACAGACUUCAAACUACAGUCAAACGAUCCUAAGGUAACCUGAUGAUUUUUAAUAUUGAUCAAGGUCUAGAAGUUUCGUAGACAUCUCAAGUGUGUUGCUACAUUUCACUCACACUUGAUAACCUCUACUCAUCGUAGAAUGUCUUCACCAUACUGCAUAUAAAAAUAUUUCAAUGUAAAGCUUAAGAUCUCUGCCUCACUGCCACAAACAACUGUCUCCACCUGCUGGCAUGAAAAGCCGUCUG